GCCCUCUUUUUCAAGCGUUGCUCGGAAUCACUGGGCGUAAAGGGCGCGUAGGCGGGAUGGCAAGUCGGUCGUGAAAUCCUUCGGCUCAACCGAAGAACGUCGGCCGAUACUGCCGUUCUUGAGGGAUGCAGAGGAGAUUGGAAUUCCCGGUGUAGCGGUGAAAUGUGUAGAGAUCGGGAGGAACACCGGUGGCGAAGGCGGGUCUCUGGGCAUCUCCUGACGCUGAGGCGCGAAAGCGUGGGGAGCAAACGGG
rnacentral:rRNA from 1 species